GACGAACGCUGGCGGCGUGCUUAACACAUGCAAGUCGAACGGAAAGGCCCUGCUUUUGUGGGGUGCUCGAGUGGCGAACGGGUGAGUAACACGUGAGUAACCUGCCCUUGACUUUGGGAUAACUUCAGGAAACUGGGGCUAAUACCGGAUAGGAGCUCCUGCUGCAUGGUGGGGGUUGGAAAGUUUCGGCGGUUGGGGAUGGACUCGCGGCUUAUCAGCUUGUUGGUGGGGUAGUGGCUUACCAAGGCUUUGACGGGUAGCCGGCCUGAGAGGGUGACCGGAUGGAGGGGGGGGGAGGUACGGCGCAGGAGCAGGGGGCGGGGGGGGGUGGGGAGGAGAGCGGGGGGGGGGGAGGCGUGGAGGCGGGAGGGGGGGUGGGGGACGAGGGGCUGCGGGCGAUAAGCGGCUGUGGCGGGUGAGGGAGCGGGAGUGACGGUAAUGAGAAAAGAAGCACAGGGUAACAAGGGGCCAGCCGGGGCGGUAAUAAGAGGAAGAGACCGCGCCUAAGC
rnacentral:rRNA from 1 species